GACGAACGCUGGCGGCGUGCCUAACACAUGCAAGUCAAGGAGAAUUCCCGACUUGUCGGGAUAGUAAACUGGCGAACGGGUGAGUAACACGUAGGUAAUCUACCCUCGGGAUCGGGAUAACCUCGCGAAAGUGGGGAUAAUACCGAAUAAAGUCUCGGUAUAAUUUGUCGAGAUGAAAGAAUGGGGAUCUUCGGACCUAUUACCUGGAGGAUGAGCCUGCGCCUGAUUAGCUAGUUGGUAGGGUAAAUGCCUACCAAGGCAACGAUCAGUAGCUGGUCUGAGAGGAUGAUCAGCCACAUUGGGACUGAGAUACGGCCCAGACUCCUACGGGAGGCAGCAGUGAGGAAUUUUGCGCAAUGGGCGAAAGCCUGACGCAGCAACGCCGCGUGACUGAUUAAGCUCUGAGGAGUGUAAAAGUCUGUCGUAGAGGAAGAAACUAUCCGAUAAGAAUAUUGUCGGAUACUGACGGUACUCUAAUGAGAAAGCUCCGGCUAA
rnacentral:rRNA from 1 species